rnacentral:rRNA from 1 species
GACAGAGGCCACGAACGUUGUUCGGAAUCACUGGGCGUAAAGGGCGCGUAGGCGGCCCCUUAAGCGUGCGGUGAAAGCCUGGGGCUCAACCCCGGGUCGGCCGUGCGGACUGGGGGGCUCGAGCACCGUAGGGGCAGGCGGAAUUCCGGGUGUAGCGGUGGUAUGCGUAGAGAUCCGGAAGAACACCGGCGGCGAAGGCAGCACUCUGGGCUGGUACUGACGCUGAGGAGCGAAAGCGUGGGUAGCAAACAGG